rnacentral:rRNA from 1 species
ACGUCGACACCUACGGAGGCAGCAGUGGGGAAUAUUGCACAAUGGGGGAAACCCUGAUGCAGCGACGCCGCGUGAAGGAAGAAGUAUUUCGGUAUGUAAACUUCUAUCAGCAGGGAAGAAGAAAGUGACGGUACCUGACUAAGAAGCCCCGGCUAACUACGUGCCAGGAGCCGCGGUAAUCUGAGCGGGCUGGCAAGGC